UACGAAGGGGGCUAGCGUUGCUCGGAAUCACUGGGCGUAAAGGGUGCGUAGGCGGGUUCUUAAGUCAGAGGUGAAAUCCUGGAGCUCAACUCCAGAACUGCCUUUGAUACUGAGAGUCUUGAGUUCGGGAGAGGAGCGUGGAAUUCCCAGUGUAGAGGUGAAAUUCGUAGAUAUUGGGAAGAACACCGGUGGCGAAGGCGGCGCUCUGGACCGAGACUGACGCUGAGGCGCGAAAGCGUGGGGAGCAAACAGG
rnacentral:rRNA from 1 species